rnacentral:rRNA from 1 species
UGGGGAAUUUUCGACAAUGGGCGCAAGCCUGCUCCAGCCCUGCCGCGUGAGUGAUGAAGGUCCUAGGGUUGUAUAGCUCUUUCACCGGCGAAGAUAAUGACGGUAACCGGAGAAGAAGCCCCGGCUAACUUCGUGCCAGCAGCCGCGGUAAUACGAAGGGGGCCAGCGUUGUUCGGAUUUACUGGGCGUAAAGCGCACGUAGGCGGACUAUUAAGUCAGGGGUGAAGUCCCGGGGCUCAACCCCGGAACUGCCUUUGAUACUGGUAGUCUGGAGUUCGAGAGGGGUGAGUGGGAUUCCGAGUGUAGAGGUGAUAUUCGUAGAUAUUCGGAGGAACACCAGUGGCGAAGGCGGCUCACUGGCUGGAUACUGACGCUGAGGUGCGAAAGCGUGGGGAGCAAACAGG